rnacentral:rRNA from 1 species
UACGUAGGUGGCAAGCGUUGUCCGGAAUUAUUGGGCGUAAAGCGCGCGCAGGCGGUUUUUUAAGUCUGGUGUAUAAACCUUGGGCUCAACUUAAGGAGGCACUGGAAACUGGGGAACUGGAGUGUAGGAGAGGAAAGUGGAAUUCCACGUGUAGCGGUGAAAUGCGUAGAGAUGUGGAGGAACACCAGUGGCGAAGGCGACUUUCUGGCCUAUAACUGACGCUGAGGCGCGAAAGCGUGGGGAGCAAACAGG